AUCUUCUCCACUCUUCACUUGAUCUCAUCUUAAAUACGAUUAAGUAUAGGAUCAAUUUCCAACAAAAAUCUGGAAUUCACCAGAGCUUCAUCCUCAUCGCGAAAUCGACCCGCCAUGGGUUCAUCGUCAUUUCCUGAUGAAGAUGUAGAUGGGUUCAGACUCUGAGUGACGCUCCCGUGUAACGAACGUAAGCUAAACAUGAAUUUGAAGGGGCGGGAACCAAUUAAAACCGG